ACAGCUCAGGCAUCUGUGGCUGGAGGAACAUCUCAGAAAGGGCGUGGAAAGAUUGUAAGAGUCAUAAUAACAGGGAGUUGUGGAGAGUCAGACAUGACUCCAGGCAAAUAGGACUGUGCCUAAAAUGGAGAAGUCACAACAACAGGGGCCGACAACACAAGACCAGAAGCACAGAGCUGUACUCGGCCAUCGGCAUCAUGCCAGGACCAUGAAGCGCUGAAGAUGCAGACCAUUGCCCAUGACUUGGAAGGAACCAUACAAGACGCCCCUUGAGAAACAGUUCCCAGUAGUACAGGACUUUAUUUUCAGACAUUUCUCAGUGACUCUGCCAAACAGUGUAAGUGGAUAGAACAAAAGAUUGGCUUGUUUGGAAGCUUUUGUGAAAAGAUGAACUCCAAGAAAAAUAAACGAACUGAAAAAAAAAAAAAAAAAAAAAGCAGUAACCUAGAAACUCGCACCUGAUAAAACACCAUUGUGUUGGGUCUUUUAUGGGGCCAAGUUUCUGCACCUGUUGAUAUGCUAUAUGGGAACAAUACAUGUGAGCUUACUUCACCUAUAGAGACUUUAAGAAAACAAUGGGGUGAUGAGCAAUGUGGCAAUGUGUAGAAAAUUCCAAUCGCAACACCAGGAACAAAGUUCUAGCAGGAUGUCUUACUGGUCUGGAUUCUACUCUGUGUAUCAAGGGAGAAAAGUGACACCUUCUAAUUACGUUAAUAAAAUGUUUCCAUUUGGGAA
rnacentral:lncRNA from 1 species